rnacentral:rRNA from 1 species
GUGGGGAAUAUUGGACAAUGGGCGAAAGCCUGAUCCAGCCAUGCCGCGUGUGUGAAGAAGGUCUUCGGAUUGUAAAGCACUUUAAGUUGGGAGGAAGGGCAGUAAGUUAAUACCUUGCUGUUUUGACGUUACCGACAGAAUAAGCACCGGCUAACUUCGUGCCAGCAGCCGCGGUAAUACGAAGGGUGCAAGCGUUAAUCGGAAUUACUGGGCGUAAAGCGCGCGUAGGUGGUUUUGUAAGUUGGAGGUGAAAUCCCCGGGCUCAACCUGGGAACGGCAUCCAAAACUGCAUGACUAGAGUACGGUAGAGGAUAGUGGAAUUUCCUGUGUAGCGGUGAAAUGCGUAGAUAUAGGGAGGAACACCAGUGGCGAAGGCGACUACCUGGACUGAUACUGACACUGAGGUGCGAAAGCGUGGGGAGCAAACAGGAUUAGAAACCCGGGUAGUCC